AACGCACCUUGCACCCUUUGGUAUUCCGAAGGGUAUGCCCGUUUGAGUGUCAUUGUAAUCUCACACCCAAGACUUCUUGUCGAGGGAGGUGGACUUGGACGUUUUGCUGCGUAACUGCGGCUCGUCUCAAAAGUGUCAGCGCGGCUCUAGAUGAAGCGUUUGAUGCCCAGUGUAAUAAGUAUUUCGCUGUGGUUAGCAUUAGUCUAUGGGUUGUUGUGCUCUCUAAUCGUCUUCGGACUGGACCAGCGAUGGUUCAUUUGACAACUUGGCCUCAAAUCGGGUAGGACUACCCGCUGAACUUAA
rnacentral:misc_RNA from 1 species